UAACCUGCGGAAGGAUCAUUACCUAGAGUUGUAGGCUUUGCGCUGCUAUCUCUUACCCAUGUCUUUUGAGUACCUUCGUUUCCUCGGCGGGUCCGCCCGCCGAUUGGACAAUUUAAACCAUUUGCAGUUGCAAUCAGCGUCUGAAAAAACUUAAUAGUUACAACUUUCAACAACGGAUCUCUUGGUUCUGGCAUCGAUGAAGAACGCAGCGAAAUGCGAUAAGUAGUGUGAAUUGCAGAAUUCAGUGAAUCAUCGAAUCUUUGAACGCACAUUGCGCCCCUUGGUAUUCCAUGGGGCAUGCCUGUUCGAGCGUCAUUUGUACCUUCAAGCUCUGCUUGGUGUUGGGUGUUUGUCUCGCCUCUGCGCGUAGACUCGCCUCAAAACAAUUGGCAGCCGGCGUAUUGAUUUCGGAGCGCAGUACAUCUCGCGCUUUGCACUCAUAACGACGACGUCCAAAAGUACAUUUUUACACUCUUGACCUCGGAUCAGGUAGGGAUACCCGCUGAACUUAAGCAUAUCAAUAAG
rnacentral:rRNA from 1 species